GACGAACGCUGGCGGCGUGCCUAAUACAUGCAAGUAGAACGCUGAAGGAGGAGCUUGCUCUUCUGGAUGAGUUGCGAACGGGUGAGUAACGCGUAGGUAACCUGCCUGGUAGCGGGGGAUAACUAUUGGAAACGAUAGCUAAUACCGCAUAACAGUAGAUGUUGCAUGACAUUUACUUAAAAGGUGCAAUUGCAUCACUACCAGAUGGACCUGCGUUGUAUUAGCUAGUUGGUGGGGUAACGGCUCACCAAGGCGACGAUACAUAGCCGACCUGAGAGGGUGAUAGGCCACACUGGGACUGAGACACGGCCCAGACUCCUACGGGAGGCAGCAGUAGGGAAUCUUCGGCAAUGGACGGAAGUCUGAACGAGCAACGCCGCGUGAGUGAAGAAGGUUUUCGGAUCGUAAAGCUCUGUUGUAAGAGAAGAACGAGUGUGAGAGUGGAAAGUUCACACUGUGACGGUAUCUUACCAGAAAGGGACGGCUAACUACGUG
rnacentral:rRNA from 1 species